AGUGAACGCUGGCGGUAGGCCUAACACAUGCAAGUCGAACGGCAGCACAGUAAGAGCUUGCUCUUACGGGUGGCGAGUGGCGGACGGGUGAGGAAUACAUCGGAAUCUACUUUUUCGUGGGGGAUAACGUAGGGAAAUUUACGCUAAUACCGCAUACGACCUACGGGUGAAAGCAGGGGAUCUUCGGACCUUGCGCGAUUGAAUGAGCCGAUGUCGGAUUAGCUAGUUGGCGGGGUAAAGGCCCACCAAGGCGACGAUCCGUAGCUGGUCUGAGAGGAUGGUCAGCCACACUGGAACUGAGACACGGUCCAGACUCCUACGGGAGGCAGCAGUGGGGAAUAUUGGACAAUGGGCGCAAGCCUGAUCCAGCCAUACCGCGUGGGUGAAGAAGGCCUUCGGGUUGUAAAGCCCUUUUGUUGGGAAAGAAAAGCAGCAGGUUAAUACCCCGCUGUUCUGACGGUAACCAAAGAAUAAGCAACGGCUAACUUCGUG
rnacentral:rRNA from 1 species